GUGCCAGCAGCCGCGGUAAUUCCAGCUCCAAUAGCGUAUAUUAAAGUUGUUGUGGUUAAAAAGCUCGUAGUUGAACCUUGGGCCUGGCUGGCCGGUCCGCCUCACCGCGUGCACUGGUCCGGCCGGGCCUUUCCCUCUGUGGAACCCCAUACCCUUCACUGGGCGUGGCGGGGAAACAGGACAUUUACUUUGAAAAAAUUAGAGUGCUCCAGGCAGGCCUAUGCUCGAAUACAUUAGCAUGGAAUAAUAAAAUAGGACGCGCGGUUCUAUUUUGUUGGUUUAUAGGACCGCCGUAAUGAUUAAUAGGGACAGUCGGGGGCAUCAGUAUUCAACUGUCAGAGGUGAAAUUCUUGGAUCAGUUGAAGACUAACUACUGCGAAAGCAUUUGCAAGGAUGUUUUCAUUAAUCAGGAACGAAAGUUUGGGGAUCGAAGACGAUCAGAUACCGUCGUAGUCUUAACCAUAAACUAUGCCGACUAGGGAUCGGACGGUGUUAUUCAUGACCCGUUCGGCACCUUACGAGAAAUCAAAGUGCUUGGGCUCCAGGGGGAGUAUGGUCGCAAGGCUGAAACUUAAAGAAAUUGACGGAAGGGCACCACCAGGGGUGGAGCCUGCGGCUUAAUUUGACUCAACACGGGGAAACUCACCAGGUCCAGACACAAUAAGGAUUGACAGAUUGAGAGCUCUUUUCUUGAUUUUGUGGGUGGUGUGCAUGGCCGUUCUUAGUGGUGGGGUGACUUGUCUGCUUAAUGCGAUAACGAACGAAGACCUUAACCUGCUAAAUAGCCCGCAUUGCUCCGCAGUGCGCUGCUCUAGAGGACUUCGCUCAGCGAAGAGUUGAGCAUAAACAGUCUGUGAUGCCUUAAGAUGUUUCU
rnacentral:rRNA from 1 species